rnacentral:rRNA from 1 species
ACCCGUUGAUCCUGCGGGAGAUUGCUGCUAUUGGGAUUCGACUAAGCCAUGCAAGUCUUCUAGCAAUAGAGGCGCAAGGCUCAGUAACACGUCACUAAUCUGCCCUAAGGUCAGGGAUACCCACGGGAAACUGUGGUUAAUACCUGAUAGGGAACGAAUAUUGGAAUAUUUUCUUCCUCAAACUCGAGCCUUAGGAUGAGGUGGCGGCCGAUUAGGCAGAUGGCGGUGUAACGGACCACCAUACCAAAGAUCGGUACGGGCCAUGAGAGUGGUAGCCCGGAGAGGGACACUGAGAUACUGGUCCCAGCCCUACGGGGUGCAGCAGGCGCGAAACCUUUACAAUGCACGCAAGUGUGAUAAGGGGAUCCCAAGUGCUCAAGCACAGCUUGGGCUUUUGUUAUGUGUAAAUAGCAUAGCGAAUAAGUGGUGGGAAAGACUGGUGCCAGCCGCCGCGGUAACACCAGCGCCACGAGUGGCAAUCGCGUUUAUUGGGCCUAAAGCGUUCGUAGCAGGUUUCAUAAAUCUCUUGUGAAAUUGUACCGCUCAACGGUACAGUGUGCAGGAGACACUGUGAGACUUGAGACCGGGAAGGGUCAGAGGUAUUCCUGAGGGAGCGGUAAAAUGCUAUAAUCUCAGGAGGACCACCUGUGGCGAAGGCGUCUGACUAGAACGGAUCUGACUGUGAGGGACGAAAGCCAGGGGAGCAAACCGGAUUAGAUACCCGAGUAGUCCUGGCAGUAAACGCUGUGAGCUAGGUGUCGCGUAUUCUACGGGAAUGCGCGGUGUCGAAAGGAAGCUAUUAAGCUCACCGCCUGGGAAGUACGGUCGCAAGACUGAAACUUUAAGGAAUUGGCGGGGGCGCACCACAAGGGGUGCGGCGUGCGGUUUAAUCUAAUUCAACACAGAGAACCUUACUAGGAGCGACGGCAGGAUGAAGGUCAGUCUGAAGGGCUUACCCAACGAGCCGAGAGGAGGUGCAUGGCCGUCGUCAGCUCGUGCUAUGAAGUGUCCAGUUAAGUCUGGCAACGAGCGAGACCUGUAUCUGCAAUUGCCAUCGGCUCUUCGGAGGACCGGGCACAUUGUAGGGACUGCCUUGGAAACAAGGAGGAAGGUGCAGGCUACGGUAGGUCUGUAUGCCCCGAAUCUCCUAGGCUACACGCGCGCAACAAUGGUAGGGACAAUGGGCUGCGACCCUGAAAAGGGAAGCUAAUCCUCUAAACCCUAUCCAAGUCCGGAUUGAGGCUUGAAACUCAGCCUCAUGACGAUGGAAUCCCUAGUAAUCGGACGUCAUCAACGUCCGGUGAAUAUGUCCCUGCGCCUUGCACACACCGCCCGUCAAACCAACCGAGCAGGGUUUAGGUAAAACAAAGCCUAUUAGUUUUGUUGAAUCUGAGCUCAGUGAGGCGGGUUAAGUCGUCACAAGGUA